CCUACGGGAGGCAGCAGUGGGGAAUAUUGGACAAUGGGGGCAACCCUGAUCCAGCAAUUCUGUGUGCACGAAGAAGGUUUUCGGAUUGUAAAGUGCUUUCAGCAGGGAAGAAGAAAGUGACGGUACCUGCAGAAGAAGCGACGGCUAAAUACGUGCCAGCAGCCGCGGUAAUACGUAUGUCGCGAGCGUUAUCCGGAAUUAUUGGGCAUAAAGGGCAUCUAGGCGGCCCUGUAAGUCUAGGGUGAAAACCUGCGGCUCAACCGCAGGCCUGCCCCGGAAACUACAGGGCUAGAGUGCUGGAGAGGUGGACGGAACUGCACGAGUAGAGGUGAAAUUCGUAGAUAUGUGCAGGAAUGCCGAUGAUGAAGAUAGUUCACUGGACGGCAACUGACGCUGAAGUGCGAAAGCUAGGGGAGCAAACAGGAUUAGAUACCCUUGUAGUC
rnacentral:rRNA from 1 species